GUGCCAGCCGCCGCGGUAAUACGUAGGUGGCAAGCGUUGUCCGGAUUUAUUGGGCGUAAAGCGAGCGCAGGCGGUUUCUUAAGUCUGAUGUGAAAGCCCCCGGCUCAACCGGGGAGGGUCAUUGGAAACUGGGAGACUUGAGUGCAGAAGAGGAGAGUGGAAUUCCAUGUGUAGCGGUGAAAUGCGUAGAUAUAUGGAGGAACACCAGUGGCGAAGGCGGCUCUCUGGUCUGUAACUGACGCUGAGGCUCGAAAGCGUGGGGAGCGAACAGGAUUAGAUACCCUGGUAGUCCACGCCGUAAACGAUGAGUGCUAAGUGUUGGAGGGUUUCCGCCCUUCAGUGCUGCAGCAAACGCAUUAAGCACUCCGCCUGGGGAGUACGACCGCAAGGUUGAAACUCAAAGGAAUUGACGGGGGCCCGCACAAGCGGUGGAGCAUGUGGUUUAAUUCGAAGCAACGCGAAGAACCUUACCAGGUCUUGACAUCCUUUGACCACUCUAGAGAUAGAGCUUCCCCUUCGGGGGCAAAGUGACAGGUGGUGCAUGGUUGUCGUCAGCUCGUGUCGUGAGAUGUUGGGUUAAGUCCCGCAACGAGCGCAACCCUUAUUGUUAGUUGCCAUCAUUUAGUUGGGCACUCUAGCGAGACUGCCGGUGACAAACCGGAGGAAGGUGGGGAUGACGUCAAAUCAUCAUGCC
rnacentral:rRNA from 1 species